rnacentral:lncRNA from 10 species
ACAGUCCAUGCUUACCUUGCUCCAUCCUGAAGGAAUGGUCCACACUUACCUGACUCCACUCUGAAGGAAUGGUCCAUGCUUACCUGGGCCCAUCCUGAAGAAACAGUCCAUUCUUACCUGGCUGUAUUCUGAAGGAAUGGUCCACACUUACCUGGCUCUAUCCUGAAGGAAUGGUCCAUGGUUACCUGGGCCCAUCAUGAAGAAACAGUCCAUGCUUACCUGGCUGUAUUCUGAAGGAAUGGUCCACACUUACCUGACUUCAUCCUGAAGGAAUGGUCCAUGCUUACCUGAGCCCAUCCUGAAGGAAUGGUCCACACUUACCUGACUCCAUCCUGAAGGAAUGGUCCAUGCUUAACUGGGCCCAUCCUGAAGAAACAGUGCAUGCUUACCUGGCUGCAUUGUGAAGGAAUGGUCCCUGCUUACCUGAUUCCAUCCUGAAGGAAUGGUCCACACUUACGUGACUCCAUCUUGAAGGAUUGGUCCAUGCUUACCUGGGCCCAUCUUGAGGAAACAGUCCAUGCUUACCUGGCUGUAUUCUGAAGAAUUGGUCCACACUUACCUGGCUCCAUCCUGCAGGACUGGUCCAUGCUUACCUGGGCCCAUCCUGAAGAAACAGUCCAUGCUUACCUGGCUGUAUUCUGAAGGAAUGGUCAACACUUACCUGGCUCCAUCCUGAAGGAAUGGUCCAUGCUUACCUGGGCCCAUCCUGAAGAAACAGUCCAUGCUUAACUGGCUGUAUUCUGAAGGAAUGGUCAGUGAUUACCUGGCUCCAUCCUCAAGGAAUAGUCCAUGCUUACCUGGGCCCAUCCUGAAGAAGCAGUCAAUGCUUACCUUGCUGCAUCCUGAUGGAGUGGUCCACACUUACCUGACUCCAUCCUGAAGGAAUGGUCCAUGCUUAACUGGGCCCGUCCUGAAGAAACAGUCCAUGCUUACCUUGUUGCAUUCUGAAGGAAUGGUCCAUACUUACCUGACUCCAUCCUGAAGGAAUGGUCCAUGCUUACCUGGGCCCAUCCUGAAGAAACAGUCCAUGCUUACGUGGCUGUAUUAUGAAGAAAUGGUCCACACUUACCUGGCUCCAUCCUGAAGGAAGGGUCCACACUUCCCUGAAUCCACCCUGAAGGAAUGGUCCAUGCUGACCUGGGCUCAUCCUGAAGAAACAGUCCAUGCUUACCUGGCUGUAUUCUGAAGGAAUGGUCCCUGCUUACCUGAUUCCAUCUUGAAGGAAUGGUCCACACUUACGUGACUCCAUCCUGAAGGAAUGGUCCAUGCUUACCUGGGCCCAUCUUGAGGCAACAGUCCAUGCUUACCUGGCUGUAUUCUGAAGAAAUGGUCCACACUUACCUGGCUCCAUCCUGCAGGACUGGUCCAUGCUUACCUGGGCCCAUCCUGAAGAAACAGUCCAUGCUUACCUGGCUGUAUUCUGAAGGAAUGGUCCACACUUACCUGGCUCCAUCCUGAAGGAAUGGUCCAUGCUUACCUGGGCCCAUCCUGAAGAAACAGUCCAUGCUUACCUUGCUCCAUCCUGAAGGAUUGGUCCCUGCUUACCUGAUUCCAUCCUGAAGGAAUGGCCCACACUUAUGUGACUCCAUCCUGAAGGAAUGGUCCAUGCUUACCUGGGCCCAUCCUGAAGAAACAGUCCAUGCUUACCUGGCUGUAUUCUGAAGGAAUGGUCCACAAUUACGUGACUCCAUCCUGAAGGAAUGGUCCAUGCUUACCUGGGCCCAUCCUGAAGAAACACUCCAUGCUUACCUGCCUGUAUUCUGAAGAAAUGGUCCACACUUACCUGGCUGCAUCCUGAAGGAAUGGUCCAUGCUUACCUGGGCCCAUCGUGAAGAAACAGUCCAUGGUUACCUGGCUGUAUUCUGAAGGAAUGGUGCACGCUUACCUGGCUCCAUCCUGAAGGGAUGGUCCAUGCUUACCUGGGCCCAUCCUGAAGAAACUGUCCAUGCUUACCUUGCUCCAUCCUGAAGGAAUGGUCCACACUUACCUGACUCCACUCUGAAGGAAUGGUCCAUGCUUACCUGGGCCCAUCCUGAAGAUACAGUCCAUGCUUACCUGGCCGUGUUCUGAAGGAAUGUUCCACACUUACCUGGCUCUAUCCUGAAGGAAUGGUCCAUGGUUACCUGGGCCAAUCCUGAAGAAAGAGUCCAUGCAUACCUGGCUGUAUUCUGAAGGAAUGGUCCACACUUACCUGGCUCCAUCCUGAAGGAAUGGUCCAUUCUUACCUGGGCCCAUCCUGAAGAUACAGUCCAUGCUUACCUGGCCGUAUUCUGAAGGAAUGUUCCACACUUACCUGGCUCUAUCCUGAAGGAAUGGUCCAUGGUUACCUGGGCCCAUCCUGAAGAAAGAGUCCAUGCAUACCUGGCUGUAUUCUGAAGGAAUGGUCCACACUUACCUGGCUCCAUCCUGAAGGAAUGGUCCAUUCUUACCUGGGCCCAUCCUGAAGAAACAGUUCAUGCUUACCUGGCUGUAUUCUGAAGGAAUGGUCCUUGCUUACCUGAUUCCAUCCUGAAGGAAUGGUCCACACUUACGUGACUGCAUCCUGAAGGAAUGGUCCAUGCUUACCUGGUCCCAUCCUGAAGAAACAGUCCAUGCUUACCUCGCUGUAUUCUGAAGGAAUGGUCCACACUUACCUGGCUCCAUCCUGAAGGAAUGGUCCAUGCUUACCUGGGCCCAUCCUGAAGAAACAGUACAUGCUUACCUGCCUGUAUUUUGAAGGCAUGAUCCUCACUUUCCUGUCUCCAUCCUGAAGAAAUGGUCCAUGUUUACCUGGGCCCAUCCUGAAGAAACAGUCCAUGCUUACCUGACUGUAUUCUGAAGGAAUGGUCCACACUUACCUGGCUCCAUCCUGAAGGAAUGGUCCAUGCUUACCUGGGCCCAUCCUGAAGGAACAGUCCAUGCUUACCUGGCUGUAUUCUGAAGCAAUGGUCACUGAUUACCUGGCUCCAUCCUCAAGGAAUAGUCCAUGCUUACCUGGGCCCAUCCUGAAGAAGCAGUCCAUGCUUACCUUGCUGCAUCCUGAUGGAGUGGUCCACACUUACCUGACUGCAUCCUGAAGGAAUGGUCCAUGCUUACCUGGUCCCAUCCUGAAGAAACAGUCCAUGCUUACCUUGCUGCAUUCUGAAGGAAUGGUCCAUACUUACCUGACUCCAUCCUGAAGGAAUGGUCCAUGCUUACCUGGGCCCAUCCUGAAGAAACAGUCCAUGCUUACCUGGCCGUAUUCUGAAGAAAUGUUCCACACUUACCUGGCUCCAUCCUGAAGGAAUGGUCCACACUGACCUGACUCCACUCUGAAGGAAUGGUCCAUGCUUACCUGGGCCCAUCCUGAAGAAACAGUCCAUGCUUACCUGGCUGUAUUCUGAAGGAAUGGUCCACACUUACCUGGCUCUAUCCUGAAGGAAUGGUCUAUGCUUACCUGGGCCCAUCCUGAAGAAACAGUCCAUGCUUACCUUGCUCCAUCCUGAAGGAAUGGUCCACACUUAUCUGACUCCAUCCUGAAGGAAUGGUCCAUGUUUACCUGGGCCCAUCCUGAAGAAACAGUCCAUGCUUACUUGGCUGUAUUCUGAAGGAAUGGUCCACACUUACCUGGCUCCAUCCUGAAGUAAUGGUCCACACUUACCUGACUCCAUCCUGAUGGAAUGGUCCAUGCUUACCUGGGCCCAUCCUGAAGAAACAGUCCAUGCUUACCUGGCUGUAGUCUGAAGGAAUGGUCCACACUUAACUGGCUCCAUCCUGAAGGAAUGGUCCAUGCUUACCUGGGCCCAUCCUGAGGAAACACUCCUUGCUUACCUGGCUGUAUUCUGAAGGAAUGGUCCCUGAUUACCUGGCUGCAUCCUGAGGGAAUGACCCACACUUAACUCACUGAAUCUUGAAGGAAUGGUCAGUGCUUACCUGGCUCCAUUUUGAGGGAAUGAUCCAUGCCUACAUGGCUGCAUCCUGACGGAAUGAUCCAUGCUACCCUGGCAGCAUCCUAAAGAAAUGGUUCAUACUUACCUACCUGCAUGCUGAAGAAUGGUCCCUGCUUACCUGGCUGCAUCCUGAUCAAAUGGUCUACACUUACCUUGCUCCAUUCUGAAGGUAUGGUCCACACUUUUAUAUCUGCAUCCUCAAGGAAUGGUUCAUGCUUACCUGUCUGCAUCCUGAGGAAAUGGUCCAGGGUUACCUGGCUCCAUCCUGAAAAAUUGUUUUAUGUUUACCUGGCUGCAUCCAGAAGGAAUGGUCCAUGCUUACCUGGCUCUAUUCUGAAGGAAUGUCCCAUGCUUACCUGGCUCCCUCCUUAAUGAAACAUUCACACUUACCUGGCUCCAUCCUGAAAUACUGGCUCAUAUUUACCUGUAUGUACCCUAAAGUAAUGGUCCAUGCUUACCUGGCUCCAUGUUGAAUGAAUGGCCCAUACUUAUCUCACUUCACCCUGAAUGAAUGGCCCAUACUUACCUGGCUCCAUUUGGAAGGAAUGAUCCAUGCUUACCUGGCUUUAUCUUGAAAAAAUGGUCCAUGCUUACCUUGCUCCAUCUGAAGGAAUGUUCCACGCUUACCUGGCCGCAUCCUGAAGGAUUGAUCCAUGCUUACCUGGCUGCAUCCUGAAGGAAUGAUCCACACUUACCUGGCUGUAUCCUGAACGAGUGGUCCUUGGUUACCUGGCUGCAUUCUGAGAAAAUGGUCCAAACUUACCUGGCUUUAUCCUAAGGGAAUGGUCCAUGCUUAGCUGGCUCCAUCCAGAAGAAAUGAUCCAUUCAGAAGAAAGGUUCAUGCUUACCUGGCUGCAUCCUGAAGAAAUGGUCCACAGUUACCUGGCUGCACCCUAACGCAAAGGUCUGUGCUUACUUGGCUGCAUCCUGAAGAAAUGUUUCACGCUUACCUGGCUCCAUCCUGAAGAAAUGGUCCACAGUUUCCUGGCUGCACCCUAAAGGAAAGGUCUGUGCUUACCUGGCUGCAUCCUGAAGGAAUUGUCCAUGCUUACUUGGCUCCAUCCUGAGGGAAUGGUCUAUGCAUACCUGGCUCCAUCCUGAAGUAAUAAUGGCCCUCGCUUCCCUGGCUUUACACUGAAGGAAUUGUCCACACUUCCCUGGCUGCAUCCUGAAGAAAUGAUUCACAUUUAUCCGGCUCCAUCCUGAAGAAAUGAUCCAUGUUUACCUAGCUGCAUCCUGAAGGAAUGUUUCAUACUUACCUGGCUGCAUCCUGAAGGAAUGCUUCCUGCUUACCUGGCUACACCGUGGAGGAAUGGUUCAUACUUACCAGCCUCUAUCCUGAAGGAAUUGUCCACGCUUACCUGGCUGCAUCCUGAAGGAGUGGUCCAUGCUUACCUGGAGGCUUCAUCUGGGAAAACAACCUGUUCCAUCCUCUGGCCAUUUCCAUCUUGGAUUCCUCUGAGCUAAUGACCCAGGCACCAAAUGGAGUUAGCAAUCCAAGAUUAUUUUAUUUUCUGGGCUAUCCAGAUGACUUAAAGCCUCGCUGAAGUUCCCAUGAGAAGAGUUUAAACAACCCAAAGAAAGCACGUAAGAAAGGAAUAACAACAACAAAACCCAGAAAGAAUGAAUAGGAAACAAAUGCAGUGGUUCCCCUUACCUGUGGCGAAGACGUUCCAAGACCCCCAGUGGAUAGUACCAAGCCCUAGAUAUAUGAUAUUUUUUCUGUAUACACACACACCUAUAAUGAAGCUUAAUUUAUAAGUUGGGAACAGUAAGAAAUUAGC